CCCACCGGCCCGGGAUUAAGGGGCUCCUGCGGCCGCGGGCCCCGAGCUCGGGCGCCAGGUAAGUCCCGCCGGGCGGCGCGGAGGUGCCCUGCGCCCCCCCCCCCCCGCCUGCGCCCCGCGGCAGCGGCUCAGAGCCCCGGGCCCGAGGCGGGAGGCGGUGCUGGGGGCGCUCCCGGGCCGGCGCCGCCGCUCUCGCGUGCGUGUGGGUGCGGGGCCCACGGGUACGUGCGGGGCGGGUGCGCGCUCACAAAUGUGCGGACCGAGCAGUCUCUAUACAGAGCUGCGGGGGAGGGGAGGGAGAAGGGCGAGAAGGACAAGUGCCCCGCGGGAACUGGAAGAGGCAAGCCCCGUUGCCCGGUCCCGGACCGCUCCUUCCGUCCUUGCACGGGCUUUCUCGGCCCGGCACUUUGUGGUCCUGUAUUUGGGAUCCUCUCUGAUGCAGCGCUUUGUUUAGUUUCCUUUCCGUCGGCGUUUAAUCUCCUCCUGUUUUGUCUUUUACAUAUUUUUUUUAAAGGAGGGAAACACAAACCCCUCCCCCCCCCCGCCCCCCACAAGGGAAGUGCUAGAGGCAGGGCUCGGAGCCGGGCCUUCCUGGCCCCUCGUCCUCAGCGCCGCCGGCAACGGCAGCUCCCUUGGAGCCCGCGCUUUCGGCCACAGGCAGUCCGGCAAACGCCGGGGAAGCAGACGAAGGAAGCGGACCCACGGUCCCGCUUCCACAGAGGCUCUUCCCGGAGGACAGAGGCCUCCGAGAAGGAGGAAAGAAGGGGCGAGGUGCAGCUGCCGGGGUCGGAUCAGGAAGGCCUCCUGGUGACCUUGAAUCAGUUGUCUCAGUGAACUUUUACUUUCGGACCGCUCCUGGAGCCACCUUCUCACCUGGCAUCCGCCGCGCUCUCUACCUCCGGUCCCGCCUGCUGCCAUGAUCAAGUUUCAGGCACGACUUUCGGAAGGAAGACUGGGAUUCUGAGCAGGAGCGAGGAGGGAGAGCACCUAGGCAGCGGUUCUGGACAAAGGCUCUGAGUGGGAGAUGGAACAGCCUGUCCAGGAACACAGCUGCGCCUUUCUGACCGGCUGUGGAGCAACUUGACUAUGCCUAAACUCAUCUCCUUGCCCCGGUUUCCCUAAUCAUCGCCCUUGUUCAGUGCCCCAUUGCCUCUUAUCUGGGUUGCUGCUCUUUAAUCGGUGCCAGUGCUCGGUACAUGGUGAUCUAAUUGGUUUAUAAGCAUAUAGUAUGCCUUAAAGGCAGGGAUUUUUUUAUUUUUAUUUUUUUUGGCUUGUAUUUGUGCGUCUAAGCCAUAGCACUUUGCCUGGCACAGAGUAAGCAAGUGAUGCUUUUUGACUUGAGCCUUGCCGGAAUCCUAGGAGAAAGAGUGCUUCUGAGAUAUUCUGUGAGAACAAACCAAACUCCAGGGGCCCAUGCAGAGGCCUGGGGGGCAGGAACCAUACUGCCUGUGGGCUGAAAGCACAGGAUUGGGACAGCCUGGCCCUGUGGUGGAGCUCAAGUUUGAAGAAGUCCAGGAUUCGAGUCUUGUUUCUAAGCUAUACUGGCAGUAUGACUUCACUUCUCAGCGCUGACAAUUCCUGCAGAAAUAAAUAGGGUUAGUGGACCAAGACGUAUCUUUUCAGAGAUCAGAACUAUAUCCACAUUUUAUAGCAGGGAAACAAGAAAAUAAUUCAAUUCAGAAAUUUAUUAUUUGACAAGUAUUUACUAUGUGCUGAGAUUAAACUGGCCUCAGACACCUAACUAGCUGUGUGAUGUUGGGCAAAUCACUUCAUCCUAUUUGCCUCAGUUUUCCUCAUCUGGAAAAUGAAUUAGAGAAAGAAAUGGCAAAUCAUUCCAGUAUCUUUGCUAAACAAACAAACAAAAAAAACAAAACCCUAAUUGGGACUGUGAAGAAUCGGACAUGACUGAAAAAUGACCGAAAGACUGUGUCUUUGGAUUGGAGAUUCAGAGGUGAAAUGAGACCCAAGUCUUGUCCAGAAGGAAAUUUUAUGGUGGUGGUGAUGUUGGAGAAGAGAUAAUAUAGAUAAUUGGGAGAGAGGCAGAAUGGUCGAAUAGAGUGUUUUGGGCUUCCAUUCAAGAAUGGGGAGAGCACUUUUUUCUGGGGAAGAGUGAGUCUUAGUCUCCUCAUCUGUAAAAUGGGAUAUAGAGGGGCAGCUAGGUAGUGCAGUGGAUAGAGCACCAGCCCUGAAGUCAGGAGGACCUGAGUUCAAAUAUGGUCUCAGACACUUAACACAUCCUAGCUGUCCUGACCCUGGGUAAGUCACUUAAUCCCAGUUGCCUCAGCAAAAACAAAAGACAAUAAAAAAAAAAAAAAAACUAUACUAAAAUGGGAUACAGAUAUGGCAGUGCCUCCCUCACAGGGUUGUUGCUCAUUUCUGUUCUCAUCUCUGUGCAGUCCAGUGCCGAGUUCUUACAAUGGUGUCCUACUUUGACCACUCCUUUUUAACGUUAGAAAAUGUUGCAGCCCUCUGUUCCCCUUCUUUCGUCCCCUGUGGUAGUUCCAAGAAGUUCUGCUGAUUAAGAAAGCAAACUAUUACAAAAUGAGUCUGGUGACACUUAAAUGACUGGGAAAACACCCAUGAAGUUCAAAAGUAACUGUGUAUAAGUCUGUCCCUCAUGGGCGUCAAGGCCACCUUUUAUUAGUGAUAUGCAGGAGCCCAGAUGAAGCAUUGGUUGCUUAUACUGGGAGAGCCCAUGAUUCCCAGAAUUGCAGACUGGGGGGGGGAACCCCCAAAGAGCAUCCAGGCCAGUUCUUGAAGAGGAGUCUUUUACAGAAUAUUCCUCAUGAGAGAGUUUGCUCAGGCUUGGCUUAAACACCUCCUUGAGCUGUGUUGUUGGAGCCCAAGGCCAGACUCAGUGUUCUGGGAGUGACAGUGCCUCUGUCCAGGAUUUCUCAAUCAUAGAUUUCAAAGGGGACUGGGAAUUGAUUUUAAAAAAUAUUUUGACAAUUCUGUUUCAGUAUAAUUGAUUUUCUUUGUAAUCUUCUCUAUUUUAUUUUAUGCUUUUAAAGGGAGGGAACCAUGGUCUUCACAGGACUGCCAAAAGAGGUCCACAGAAAAAAAGAGUGGGGGUUAGAACGUUCUGAUCCUUGGAUGCUUUUAUUUUACAGAUGGGGAAAGUGAGGCUUAGAGCAGGUACGUCACAUAGUGUCACAGUCCCAUAGUCAGUGCUAAGGCUGAGAUGUGAGGCUGGAGCUCUUAAGUAUAAAUCCGUUGAUCUGCCGUAGAAUGCUGCCUUUUCACUCUCUGCUGAGGGCAGAGGAGGGCAUUCUCCUCCCCUUCCCCCAUUAGGAGGGAACUUCUCUGAGACCAGGGGCUGUUUUCCUUUCUCUCUCUCUCUCUCUUUUUUUGGGUCUUUGCACAAUGCCAGGCAGUAAUAAAUGUUUAAUCAGGUUUUUUUUUCGUUUUUUGUUCUUAGUUUUGUUUUGUUUUGUUUUGCUAUUUUAUUGGCAGCAAAGCCCUAAUUUGUUGACAGAGGGAAGAGAGGAUGGAUUGGAGGUAUCAGCAUUUAUUAAUCAUAUGUGUUCUAGAUAUAGUGCUAGGUGUUAAUGGUACAAUCAAGAUGCAUUUAUUAAGCACCUAGUGUGUGCCAGGUGCUGUUAGGGAUGGAUAUACUGAGAUCAAAACCAUCCCUGAUUAGAGUCAACAAGGACAUAGAAAAGCUGGAAGUAGGAGCCAGGUGUGUGAUUGUGCCAGCUGGGUCACUGGGAGUUAAUGCCUUUCUCCUUUGACCCAUUGAUCCUCCUGCUGGUUACACCCCAAGAGGAAAUCAGAUUGGAAAGAGUCAUCUCCAAAUAUUCCUACAUAUUCUUUGUGAAAACAAAGGGGUCCCCACCAGGAAUACCUUGUGCCGUGAUCCUAUUCCAGUCUCUUCAUUGGACAGAUAAGGAAACUGAGUGUGUUCCAUUUAAAAAAAAAUAUAUUAAUAUUUUUAAAUUUACCUUUGAUUUUCUUUGCUUGGGUAGGUUCAUUUUGGGUGGGAAGAUGGAUGAAAAUGAUGAUUAUCAAUGAUUAUAUUCGCAUAUAUGUAUAGAUGGUUAUAAAAAAUCCCCAGACAUCAGUAAAAACUUCAGAAGUCAGGGGUCUGUUCCUGGUUGGUAGUUGGGCCCAGCCUGGCAAUGAGUGGAGGGAGGGAUGGGAAAGCCAUUGCUCGGUGAGUUGGGAAAAGGAGCUGUUGAAAGGCUGAGUGUUGAAAUAGGACAAAGGCCAUUUCCAGGGGGAGGGAGGGCUGAGCCGGGACUCUGGGCUGCAGGGGACCUCAGCAGUCACCUUCUCCAGCCUGUGUCAGAUCAGGGAACCUGGGGGACCCAGGGAAAGGUGGGCGCGGCCAGUUUCCCCGGCUCUGGAGGGCGGGUUCCCCUGGAUUCUGGACAAGCCGGGAUUGCACAAAACCGCUAGAGGGAGAGACACCCCGGCUGGAGUGGGGUCUGUGCUGACGCAUGACCAGGCCCCCACUGGCAGUUCUGGGCCUUUCCCUGGGCGACCCCAUCCUCAGCUGGACCCCCAGCCUUCCGUCAGCCCUCUGCUCCCGUUUUCCCGGCCACAGAGACCUCGCCCCACCUUAAUGCCUCCCCUUGUCUUUGUCCCCGGCUCCUUGGGGCUGGGAGCCCGAGAUCUCCUCCAGGGACCUUUUUUUGUUGUUGUUGCCUUUGUUUGUACCCAGGGCUUAGCACGUGCUUGGUACACAGCUGGUGUUUAAUGAAUGCUUGCUGAUGGACAGCAUGAGGCCUUGUUAGCACGCCGCACGCUGGGGGCUGGGUUGGGUGGGAGGUGUCCCAGCAUCCCCUCC
rnacentral:lncRNA from 1 species